rnacentral:lncRNA from 1 species
GGCGCGAGCGGGAACCAGGGCUGCCUGCGGCGCUUGCGGACCAGCUGGAGUUCCGGGUGGGCGUGGGCUUGGCGGGCCCCGCACUCGGAGCAGCCGGCCGGCCCUGCCAGCCCUGGGCAAUGAGGGGCUUAGCACCCGGCCCAGCGGCUGCGGAGGGUGUACUGGGUCCCCCCGCAGUGCCAGCCCACCAGCGCUGCGCUCGAUUUCUCCCCGGGCCUUAGCUGCCUUCCUGUGGGGCAGGGCUCGGGACCUGCAGCCCGCCAUGCCUAAGCCUCCCACCCCCUCCGUGGGCUCCUGUGCGGCCCGAGCCUCCUCCAUCCCUGCUCUGAGGCGCCCAGUCCCAGCGACCACCCAAGGGCUGAGGAGUGCAGGCACACGGCGCAGGACUGGCAGGCAGCUCCACCUGCAGGCCCGGUGUGGGAUCCACUGGGUGAAGCCAGCUGGGCUCCUGAGUCUUGGAGAACCUUUAAGUCUAGCUCAGGGAUUGUAAAUACACCAAUAGGCAUUCUGUCUCUAGCUCAAGGUUUGUAAACACACCAAUCAGCACCGUGUGUCUAACUCAGGGUUUGUGAAUGCACCAAUCGACACUGUAUCUAGCUACUCUGGUGGGGCCUUGGAGAACCUUUGUGUAGACACUGUAUCUAGCUAAUCUGGUAGGGAGGUGGAGAACCUUUGUGUCUAGCUCAGGGAUUGUAAACGCACCAAUCAGUGCCCUGUCAAAACAGACCACUCGGCUCUACCAAUCAGCAGGACGUGGGUGGGGCCGGAUAAGAGAAUAAAAGCAGUCUGCCCCUAGCCAGCAGUGGCAACCCUUUCGGGUCCCCUUCCACACUGUGGUAGCUUUGUUCUUUCGCUCUUUGCAAUAAAUCGUGCUACUGCUCACUCUUUGGGUCCACACUGCUUUCAUGAGCUGUAACACUCACCGCGAAAGUCUGCAGCUUCGCUCCCGAAGCCAGCGAGACCACGAUACCACCAGGAAGAACGAACAACUCCAGAUGCGCCACCUUAAGAGCUGUAACACUCACCGCGAAGGCCUGCAGCUUCACUUCUGAGCCAGCGAGACGACGAACCCACCAGAAGGAAGAAACUCCGAACACAUCCGAACAUCAGAAGGAACAAACUCCAGACGCGCCACCUUAAGAGCUGUAACACUCAACGCGAGGGUCUGCGGCUUCAUUCUUGAAGUCAGUGAGACCAGGAACCCACCAAUUCCGGACACAGUGACGGGUGCCUGUAAUCCCAUCUACUUGGGAGGCUGAGACAGGAGAAUUGCUUGAACCUGGGAGGCAGAGGUUGCAGCGAGCUGAGAUCGUGCCAUUGCACUCCAGCUUGGGUGACAGAGCGAGACUCCAUCUCAAAAAAAAAAAAAAAAAAGAAAGAAAAGAAAAGAGAAUUAGCCGUGGUCAAUGUGUUUACAACACAGACAUCCCCAGAUGUUGGAAUUUAUUUUUUUAACCCCAGGAAGCCAGUUAUUAACAUGCACCACCAAAGGAGAGGAUAGAGGUAGCUGACAGGGAAGUCUAAGAAGAUACUAAAGGUUAUUACCUUCACUUACUUCAUGUUUUGACCUGGGCUUGGACUCAGCCAGUUGUGACAUCUGUCAUUCAUGGAACAAUCGCCUGAGCUUCAGGUCCCAAGAGAUAGUGGACAGAAGAGCAUGCAUUUUCAGCUUCAAACAUGUGCUACCUGACUAGAUGGAAUUCCUUGAGAACUGUAUUAACAUGUUUCAAAGAGUUGAAUUAACAG